rnacentral:rRNA from 1 species
UACGGGGGGGGCAAGCGUUGUUCGGAAUUACUGGGCGUAAAGGGCUCGUAGGCGGCCAACUAAGUCAGACGUGAAAUCCCCAGGCUCAACCUGGGAACUGCGUCUGAUACUGGAUGGCUUGAAUUCGGGAGAGGGAUGCAGAAUUCCAGGUGUAGCGGUGAAAUGCGCAGAUAUCAGGAGGAACACCGGUGGCGAAGGCGGUCAUCUGGGCUACAACUGACGCUGAUGCACGAAAGCGUGGGGAGCAAACAGG